GGAAUGCAGUGGAGUUUACAAGUCAUUGAUCACAACUAGUUAUAGAUUUCUUUGUUUCUCCUCCACUCCCACUGCUUUUUUUUUUU
ensembl:Y_RNA Y_RNA Y RNA